UAGGGAAUCUUCGGCAAUGGACGGAAGUCUGACCGAGCAACGCCGCGUGAGUGAAGAAGGUUUUCGGAUCGUAAAGCUCUGUUGUUAGAGAAGAACGUUGGUAGGAGCGGAAAAUCUACCAAGUGACGGUAACUAACCAGAAAGGGACGGCUAACUACGUGCCAGCAGCCGCGGUAAUACGUAGGUCCCGAGCGUUGUCCGGAUUUAUUGGGCGUAAAGCGAGGGCAGGCGGUUCUUUAAGUCUGAAGUUAAAGGCAGUGGCUUAACCAUUGUACGCUUUGGAAACUGGAGGACUUGAGUGCAGAAGGGGAGAGUGGAAUUCCAUGUGUAGCGGUGAAAUGCGUAGAUAUAUGGAGGAACACCGGUGGCGAAAGCGGCUCUCUGGUCUGUAACUGACGCUGAGGCUCGAAAGCGUGGGGAGCAAACAGG
rnacentral:rRNA from 1 species